AUAUAUGCAGGCUUGACUGUGUUUGGAAGUGGAGGUCAUUCCAGCCAUGCGUCAAAAAAUAGGGGGACAAUGCGUUUUCCCCCUCCUCUGUCCUUCCUUUCCAUCUACGAUCGGUGGCAUUUAAGAGAAACUCAUGCGGUAUUUCUGGCCGGACAUCUCUUGGACAUGGAUUACAAAGGAGGAGCGACGCAGCCAGUCAAUCGGCCUCCUGCCUUCCCUCCUGAAUGAAUUUACUUCAAUUAGAGGCUGCAAUCGAUCACAAGAGGCCAAAGCGCGUCGGCUUUUACGAACAUUUAUUGUUACACAGUGUAAUGACCAUGCACGCUGUGACGCAGGUUAAUGACACCAUAGAUUAAAUCCA
ensembl:lncRNA